rnacentral:rRNA from 1 species
GAGUUUGAUUAUGGCUCAGGAUGAACGCUGGCGGCGUGCCUAACACAUGCAAGUCGAGCGCGGUUGUGCUUAGUAUUGAGUGUUUUAUUGAUAUAAAACAUUGAAUUCUAUGCACAACUGAGCGGCGGACGGGUGAGUAACGCGUGGGUAACCUGCCCUAUACACAUGGAUAACAUACUGAAAAGUUUACUAAUACAUGAUAAAAUAGUUUUUCGGCAUCGAAGAAUUAUCAAAGUGUUAGCGGUAUAGGAUGGACCCGCGUCUGAUUAGCUAGUUGGUGAGAUAACUGCCCACCAAGGCGACGAUCAGUAGCCGACCUGAGAGGGUGAUCGGCCACAUUGGAACUGAGACACGGUCCAAACUCCUACGGGAGGCAGCAGUGGGGAAUAUUGCACAAUGGGCGCAAGCCUGAUGCAGCAACGCCGCGUGAACGAUGAAGGUCUUCGGAUCGUAAAGUUCUGUUGCAGGGGAAGAUAA